CUGAUAACAAAGCAUAUCUGCAAGCAUCACUCAAACUUUCUUGGAUUGAAUGUGGCCUCCUGUAAACAAACAUAUUGCUAUAAGCCUUGUGGUUCAUCAAUAAUGCUUUCUUGAAACAAACAUAGUGGUGUAACCCCUGUAGUUCAAGUCAAGAGACAUAUCCAUCAUUCGAAGAAGAAAAAUCACAUUUUGGAAGUGUGAAAACCAUAUAUCCUUCAGCAGUUCUAAGAGAAGCCGUCACUGUGGUUGGUGCCUCUGAUUACACCCAAGCGAAAGCACAAGCUUGAAAUGUUCUCAACAAUUGUUUAUGGGACUGUAGUAUUAAGAUCAAUAACUUUCUCAUCCACCCAAACCCCCGUUAUCUUGAA
rnacentral:lncRNA from 1 species